GUUGCACUAGCGGCAUUGCAAGUGCUCAACAGGCAUGUAGGGCUGGGGGCCGUGCUGCUGGACGACACAGACAGAGAACAUUUCCAUCAUUACAGAAGCUUCUCCUGAACGGCACUGGUCUACGGACUCGGAGGCUGCGGGGUCUGGUGUUUUUUCUAGAUGAUCUUCAUGCAUUCUGAUAUUUGCUGAGAACCCACGACAUACCAGGCCCCGUAACAGGCAAUGGAGAUAAUUUGCACAAAACACUAAAAGUAAUCAAAACUUUGGAAUUAUCACAAUGUUCUGAAGCUGCACCUGUAUUAUUAAGAAGAGUGAUUUAGAAAGAGAAAUAUCUAGAAUCGAAAAACAAUUCCUCCACUCUGGAUAAUCUUGAGCACAGCAGCUUUGUCUUACACAUUUAUUUAUCUUUCAUGGUUUACACAGGAUGUGGCACAUGCAUAAGUAUUUGUUAAAGGAAAGGACAGUGGAAUGAAUGCAUAAAGCCAUGAAAGCAUGAAAUGAAAUGAAUUCUCCUUCCUCCAAAGUAAUUUCAAAGGGGCAUUUAUAGCUGGAUAGUGAAGGAAGGAGCUGUAGAGAUCUCUGAAUCCAGCUCUUCCCUUUGACACAGAGGAGUCAAUGGUCAACAAGGUUCAGAAGUUCGCCCAAAGUCAUCAGGUGAGGUUGUCUUCCUUGCCUUCCCGAUUGUAGCUUUUUACCAGCGACCACUGGUGUUCAUUCCAUAUUUUAUGAUUUCCUGUCAACAACAACAAUAAAAAGGUUUCUGUAUGAUUAUUGAAUAUUUUUCUAGAGAGCUUGCUCUGGGACACAUGACUACUUCAGUUUCACAGCAAAGACAAAAUUCACAAGUAGUGUCACCUACUUUGAAAGAUAUUUUAGGGCCUAAGCUGCCACUGAGUUGCUCUUUGUAGCUAACCUAAGUCCCUCAUGCUAUACUUUGUCACUUUCUGAAAUUAAACAGCCAUUUUUCUGUGGGCGUUCUUAGGACUCUGCCUCCCUCUGCUGUGGCAGGUCCUGCACUUUGUUUAAGAUUCAAGGUUACGCUCAGGAGACAUGUUGGAUUUGCACCAGGCUGGAAGGCACACCAGAGACCAAGGAGCUUCAUGGCUUCAUUUGACGGUCACGGACACUUAGGGCCAGCCAGCGAAAGUGACUUCUUCAAAGUUGCAUCACGGUUCCUUGGCAGAGCUGGAACUCCAAUGAUCACAGGUACUCAAGCGACAAAGGCAAUGCCUUCGCAAAAGGGAACUUCGCCACUCACGAAGAAUACCUGUGUGUCCAGAUCAGGUACCCUCCUGAUGUCAAAACCACUCCUGAUUCUCAGCAUGCCAAAAGUUGAAUUUAGGGGAAAUCCUUCUCAGAAUUUUCUCCACCACCUUCUUGCCCACCUGAAACUCCUGCUCAUCCAACAAGAAGAUGGGAACACUUCUCCACAGUAUCCACUGAACCUCCUACUCCGGGCAAAAAUAAGUACCCUAUGGGGCCAGCCCAGGGGCAUAGCAGCUAAGUUCGAGCACACCAUUUCGGCAGCCCCAGGGUUCACCAGUUUGGAUCCCAGGCAUGGAUCUACGCACCGCUUCUCAAGCCAUGCUGUGGCAGGCGUCUCACAUAUAAAGUAGAGGAAGGUGGGCAUGGAUGUUAGCUCAGGGCCAGUCUUCCUCAUCAAAAAGAGGAGGAUUGGCAGCAGAUGUUAGCUCAGGGCUAAUCUUCCACAAAAAAAAGAAAAAUAAAAAUAAGUACCUGUAAGCCUUUCCUUUCUCUAUUUCACAUUUACCCAGGAUUCAUUUUCAAAAACAAAAUCUCAGAAAACAUUCUUCCCACUCUCCCCUUAACUUUUACUCUUUUAACAUAACUUUGGGGUUGUUUGAAGAUUGUUUUAAAUGUCUAUGUGAAUUGCCUGCAUGUUUAUUAAUAACUGUAUUCUCUGUUUGCUAAUACAGGUACACAUUUUACUAGUUUUCUUGCAUGAAAACAUCAGAAAAUGGCAUUGCCCUGGAAAUCCCGUGCCUUGACCACGUUCCCAUUUUAAUCCCGACGUCUUACAUUCUCUUUUCUGUAGCUGGAGGACCAGAGUGAGGGCCUCGUGGGGUCCGGGCUCUCAGUAUUUUGUGGGGGAGAAAGGACAACGGGGCAGCCUGUCCGUAGAUAUCACCAAAGACCUAAGCACAGUUUUUGAGGAGGAACAAAGACACCGUCCAAUCUGUUUGCACACACACACCUAGGGCAUUCAUAUGGCAGCCCUUAUGCACUGAGAGGAGAACUGAGACACGGAACCUGUAGUAGGUAGAGGACAAGGAGAGGGAGAAGGAAUAAAUCCAACUGCUCCUGCACACUUCCCCAGACGAGACCCGGGACGAGACGGGGUAAUGUCACCUCAGACCUAAACCAUUAAGCUACAUCGUGCCUCAAAGAAGCAGAAACUCAGACCAAGAUUCCUCCCUCUCUGCCCUCCCCUGGAUGGGCCCCUGUGAAAUCAAGGGACUGGCUUGGGAAGGACUUUGCACACUGACCUCAGAAAUUCUUUUUAGGGGAAUGUGAUCCCUUUUAUUAUACAGGGAGAUAUAAAACUGCGUAUGAAUUGGCAAUUUUAUUGCCUGAUUUGAACAUUACAUUUUAUUAGCAUAGUGGGUGUUUUUUUGUCAUACUCAUUACCUACUGCCCACAGUGAGGAUGGGAGCUCCGUUCUGGCUUGCACGGGAAGGAGAUUCAGAGCAGAGUGCCGGGGAGCGCCCUGCACAAUUGCACUGUUCUCUGAAAGCCUGUCCCAUCUUGUGGGUGGCUGUUAUUUGCCUCUGCAUCUAACUCUGCAGGCCCUGCAGGAAGCAGCGGGCUCCUUGAGGGCGGGGCCCGCUUCCAACCUCCCUCUCUAUCUGGCACGCUGCUGGGCAUACAGUCCUUGCUCAAUAACUCUCUGGAUCCACCCCUGUUCCUUUGGAUUCUGGUUGCAGUGUUCUCCCCUCUGCCCUGUGCUGCCCUUAGCCAUAACAUCAGGCUUAGUGCGCUUUUCCCAAAGCUUGCGGCCCUCCUCGUUCACCACAUCCUGCAUCCCCUAUGUCCAGAGCAAUUGCUUUGUGCCCACGGAUGGCUUUGCUGAGGCAGCGCUCCCUGGAGAGGCCAGGCUCCUAUCUGCGGCCCGUGAGCAGGGGUUUGGCAGGCCGAGGUCCAUCCUGGCACAACUGAUUUCUGCGUGAUCAGCCCAGGACAUCAGUUAGCAGGCAGGUUGGGAAAGGAUGUAAAAUGAAUGGUCCCUGAUAACUCGAUCAGGAGCUGGAGCCAGAGAUCAUAGAGAAAUUUAUCACCAGAAGUGACAGCACCAGGCCCUAGCAAGAGCUUCCCCAGGAUCUGGCUCCUGUGCUGAGGGUUUCUGUCAGAUACCCUAGCCCAUGCAAGAAAGAGAUCAGGGUUAAAGAAGGUGGGGGAGUGAUCCUGAGUUAUGGGGGAAUGAGCCUGAAACGAGGCUGGUCCGGGCUCAGGUCUGAGCCCUCCACUUAGCAGGUGGGCCUUGAGGAAGUUGCUUAAGGUCUCCGAGCCUCAGUUUCUUCAUCCGUGCAAUGGGUAUAAUGCCACCUCCCUUUGUGAGGGGUCCACAAAUUAGUAGAGAUCCGCACGUGGAAGGUGCUCGAUAAAUAAUCUGUCGAAUGAGUUACCGAAUACCAAUCACCUUUCUCAGUGCCUGGCCCACCACCGAUGCUUUUAAUGAAUGAAUGAGUAUCAAUUUGCUAUCAUAGUGCACGGCAUUUAGUCUGUUGUUGAAAAUAAAGUUAGGUCUCUCCCCCACCAAGAUUUUACCCCCUCCAACCUGUUUUCCUUCACGAUUUGUAAAUGCUGGCCCAGAGAGGUGAGACAACCUUGUCAAGGUCACAGAGCGACUGUGAAUCAGAGCCCCUUUCCUGCUCCCAUGCUCGGCCCCGUAGAGCUCCGGCUGGCCCGCCGUCCACACUGCUUCCAGAGUCCAGAAUACCGCAGACCAGUUGCCUCCCGACCUCUGCCCAGGAGGACUUCCGUGCCCAUUGAGGUAACACUGACCCAGGGCCUCUAAUCCCGCUUCUGCUAGCCUACCUCCCCUCUUCCUAUCUGUGAUGGUUAAUUUUAUGUGUCAGCUUGGUUAUGCCAUGGGACCGAGAUAUUUGGUCAAACGUUGUUCUAGAUGUUUCCAUGAAGGUUGCUUUCAGAUGAGAUUAAUAUUUAAAUCAAUAGACUUUGAGUAAAGCAGUUGACCCUCCAUAAUGUAGGUGGGCCUUGUCCAAUCAGUUGAAGGUCUUAAUAGAAAAACAUAGACCUUCCCCAAGGAAGGAGGAAUCCUGCUGGCAGGCUGCCUUUAGACUCAAACUGCAACAGCAACUCUUCCCUGGGUCUCCAGGCUGCCAGCGUACCCUGCAGGUUUUGGACUUACGAAUGUAUAUCAUAUACACACACGGACAUACCCAUCCUAUUGGUUCUGUUUCUCUGGAGAACUCUGACUAAUACACUAUCCUUCUUGGUAGUUUAUUUUCCAGCUACUAGCUGCUACUUACCGUGUCUCCAAAGCACCAGGAUGGCUGUCACCUUGGCUUCUUUGCACAGACAUCUGUUUCUGCCUGGAACUCUGUCACUGCUUACUGUCUGGCCCACUGCCUUAAACUCAGCUUACCCAGACUCCUCCUUUGACCAGGGCCUAUCUAGCUGCAUAGCGCUGCCUGCCGUGUAGCUGUUCCUUCAUGGGGCUCCUGUUUUCCUGUCUAUGUAAUUUACGACCUUGUAUUGAAUUUGCACAUCUGUUGUCUCUCUCCUCACCUGGGACCACUGAAGGCAGGGCCUUGCUUAUGCAUCUCAGGCAUCUUAACCUAAGUUAACAAAGUUGUGUUGAAAACAAGGAAGGAAAGAAAGAAGAAAAGAGGGAAGGAAGGAGGGAAGGAGAGGGGAAGGGAGAGAGAGAGGAAAAGGAGGAAAGAUGGAAACAGGGAACCAGGAUGGGCAAAACCAAACAAAGUAACAACUCCCACUGAUGGGGACCGCCACAGGAGCAGAGGCACCCACUGAAAGAGCUCCCAAUAACCAAGCUGGAAGAAUUUGAGCAACAAAAUUAAGUGGUAUUGGAUUAAAACCCAAAUGAUAAAAUAAAUAUUCAGAGUAUACGUCCAUAUAAAUAAAUAAUUGAAUAAAUUAAUAAGUGGUGGGCACUUUUCAAAUGAUUUACAUAGAUAUACCACCAUCAAAGAGGGAACACGUAACUCACCCCGCCUCAGGUGUCAGCUGCACAUAGUGACUGUCCCCCAGAGAGUGCAGAAUAGAAAGGGGGAAAAAGCACAACUUUAUGGUGGAGAAACCUGAGGAGCAUGACCUCAGCCAGGUGGUCAAGGGGAAACACCCACAGUCAUAAAUCAUGUUGAUUGUCUACACCCUUGAUAGAGGAUGACAAUGGUUCUUCAUCUCUUCCUCCUCAAAACCCACAACCCUGGUCUAAUCACGAGAAAAACAUCAGAUACAUUCCAGAGGUGGGGCAUCCUACAAAACAUCCUCAAAACUGUCAACGUCAUCAAAAACAAGGAAAGUCUGAGAAGCAGCCUAGAGGAGCUUUAGGAGGCAAGACAACUAAUUAUAAUAUGAUAUCCUGGAUGGGAUCCUGGACGAGAAAAAGGACAUUGGGCAGAAACUAAGAAAACCUAAUUGAACCAUGGACUUUAGUGGACAAUGAGGUAUCAAUAUCAGCUCAUUGAUUGUAACCUAAGUGUCAUAGUAAGGUAAAAUGUUAGUAGUAAGAGGGGAAACUGGACGUGGAAUAUAUGGGAGCACUCUCUGCUAUCCUCUCAAUUUUUCUGUAAAUCUAAAACUGUUUUAAAAAAAUAAAGUCUAUUAAAAGAAAUAAGAAAAAUGGGAAAGUUAUUAAACAUCAACCAAUCUGAUUUAUCGUAACCUUAUUUGGAUCCUGAUUCACAAAAAAACAAAGAGAAAACUGGGACUCAAACCCUAGACUAAGCGUUCGAGUGAGAUUAUGUUGAUCGUCUGUGACUCUGUGGAAGUAUUUUUGUUCUUUUUUCUUAUAGUGAUUUCCCUUCUCCCAGAAGAACAUCCCUAGAGAUUAGUUGAAGCAGCAAGCCACAGUCCAGCCUUAAUCUUCCAGGAUUGGCUGAGUUACUUCACAGCAAUUCGUCUCCCUCCACUCCAAGCCCAGCCCACGGCAGUAAUUUGCAUUCUAAAGGAGGAAGUCAACUAACAGGAUUCAGAUAAGGAUGGUCAAUAGGUACUGGCUUCCCUCAGGGCCACCUCAGGCCAGGGGGUGUCUGCUCUCUAGCCCCACCUACCGGACCUUGUCUAAAUCACCUGAAUAAAUGCAACUGCCUGGCAAGACCCAAUGCCAGGCACGGAGGGGAAAGAAACAAGACUCAUCAGAUCAGGGAAUAUUGGGAUCGGAGGGAAACUUUAAGAUGAAUCUCUUCUUUAAUUGAAAGGAAAACCAAGUGUUAGAUGCAUUGGACAUUUACUACGCAUCGAGCCACUUUGACCAGAGUUCGAACCCUGCUCCUGCCACUGCGUGGUCAUGGAACUCAAUGUGUUCAGAUUGUCAAUUCAAUCCAACUUCAUUUCACUUACUUCAAUUAAGGAAUAUUUGUUAAGAAAUGACCGUGUUCCUAGUGCAAUACUAAGGAAUAUGAAGAUAAAUAAGACCCAGUACAUGCCUUCCAAGAGCCUGAACCACGUUUAGAGAAAGAAGAAACAUAUUUGAAAAGCCUCUGAUUCAGUAUUUGGACACGUGUUACUGAUCCGCGGAGAGCCCUCACGAAGGGGUGAUGACGUCUAUUAUGUAGUGAUUUUCAUGGCAACCUUGUGAACUGGUGAUUUUUACAGAUGAGGCAGCUGAGGCUCAGAUAAGGUAACUGACUGGUUCGAGAUUGCUCAGCACAGACAGACGAGAGGAUGGAGCUUGAAUCCACAUCUGCUUCCCCGAGCCCACUCUGUGCUUGGAUUUCCCCAGGGCCCCUACCCCACACCUGCCUGGCCCUGCCCACCUCUUACCUCCCAGCAUUCGAUUGUGUCUGUAUGUGAAAGCUCAGCCCUUGGUGACCCUUCCUAUUAAGGCUCCUGGAAGAAGACGGGCGUGCUGGGUCAGUUAUGAUAAUAGCUGAGGACAAUGGCAUCAGGAUUCACAUGAAGAAGGCUUUCUUUCUCCAUGACCAGCAACACCCUAGUUACGGUUUAUAUGCAACAUCUAUUUCUAGAAAGAAAACCUGAAGCGAGCCUCAGCAUUGCCACAAAUAACCGAGGUUGCUGUAAGAACACAUCUCAAUUUAUUUAUUUAUUUUUAAUUUUUUAAGAUUGGCCCUGAGCUAACAUCUGUUGCCAAUCUUUGUUUUCCUUCUUUUCCCCAAAGCCCCCCAGUACAUAGUUAUAUAUUCUAGGUGUAGGUCCUUCUGGUUCUGCUAUGUGGGACACUGCCUCAGCAUGGCUUGAUGAGCAGUGCCAUGUCCGUGCCCAGAAUCGGAAUGAGUGAAACCCCGGGCUGCCAAAGUAGAGCGAGAGAUCUUAAUCACUUGGCCACGGGGCCAGUUCCACAGCUCAAUUUAAAUUAAUAAAUCCACUUGGAAAGAUACUUUUCUGUCUCAGUCUUCUCUGCAUCAUUAGUGCCUGGAAGAGGGCUUCCUAUGGAGUAGGUGCACAAUAUGUUACUGUGUGAUGAUAAAUAUUUCUAUUCUUUCUGGG
ensembl:lncRNA